GAUGAACGCUGGCGGCGUGCCUAAUACAUGCAAGUCGAGCGAACAGAUGAGGAGCUUGCUCCUCUGACGUUAGCGUCGGACGGGUGAGUAACACGUGGAUAACCUACCUAUAAGACUGGGAUAACUUCGUGAAACCGGAGCUAAUACCGGAUUAUAUAUUGAACCGCAUGGUUCAAUAGUGAAAGACGGUUUUGCUUUCACUUAUCGAUGGAUCCGCGCCGGAUUAGCUAGUUGGUAAGGUAACGGCUUACCAAGGCAACGAUGCGUAGCCGACCUGAGAGGGUGAUCGGCCACACUGGAACUGAGACAAGGUCCAGACUCCUACGGGAGGCAGCAGUAGGGAAUAUUCCGCAAUGGGCGAAAGCCUGACGGAGCAACGCCGCGUGAGUGAUGAAGGUCUUCGGAUCGUAAAACUCUGUUAUUAGGGAAGAACAAAUGUGUAAGUAAAUAUGCACGUCUUGACGGUACCUAAUCAGAAAGCCACGGCUAACUACGUG
rnacentral:rRNA from 1 species